rnacentral:rRNA from 1 species
UGGGGAAUUGUUCGCAAUGGGCGCAAGCCUGACGACGCAACGCCGCGUGGGGGAUGAAGGUCUUCGGAUUGUAAACCCCUGUCGAGCGGGACGAAUGGCCCGCGACCUAACACGUCGCGGGAGUGACGGUACCGCUAAAGGAAGCCACGGCUAACUCUGUGCCAGCAGCCGCGGUAAUACAGAGGUGGCAAGCGUUGUUCGGAAUUACUGGGCGUAAAGGGCGCGUAGGCGGCCUUCUAAGUCAGACGUGAAAUCCCCCGGCUUAACCUGGGAACUGCGUCUGAUACUGGGAGGCUUGAGUGCGGGAGAGGGAUGUGGAAUUCCAGGUGUAGCGGUGAAAUGCGUAGAUAUCUGGAGGAACACCGGUGGCGAAGGCGGCAUCCUGGACCGACACUGACGCUGAGGCGCGAAAGCUAGGGUAGCAAACGGG